AAAUUAGUUUGGGGCAAAUUCUCAUUUAGUCAUGACAUACUCAUAUCUGACUAUUUAGAAUUAUUUAUUAUUGUGUGAAUAAUAACUUUUUAAGAUUUUAAU
rfam:Populus trichocarpa scaffold_2_contig_6, whole genome shotgun sequence.